rnacentral:rRNA from 1 species
GUACGGCGAGCGAAAAGGGAGGAGCCCAGCGCCGAAUCCCCGGCCCACGGUCGCGGGAAAUGUGGCGUUUAGGAGUGAGCGUGCCGGGUUCGACGGCGGCGGCAAGUCCCCCUGACCGGGGCCUGUCCGUAGCGGGUGCGAGGCCCAUAGCCGCCGCCUUCGUCUCGGAUGCGAUCUCCUUGGAGUCGGGUUGCUUGGGAGUGCAGCCCUAAUCGGGUGGUAAACUCCACCUAAGGCUAAAUACCGCCGUGAGACCGAUAGCAAACAAGUACCGUGAGGGAAAGUUGCAAAGAACUUUGAAGAGAGAGUUCAAGAGUACGUGAAACUGCUCAGAGGUAAACGGGUGGGCCCUCGAAAUCCUGUGGCGAGAGGAUUCAGUCUGGCUGGGCGGACGUGUGCUCGGAAGACCGAGCAGGGCUUCCCGAGACCGGGGCCGUCCGGGCGCGCGACUUCCGCCUUUCCAGACGCAUUUGUCUCUCGUCCGAAGGACGCUGCAGCCGGUCUGGCAGUGCAAGCGCGACGGCCUGAAGGUCGGGAACUGGCAGGUGGCCGGCGGCUCGCCUCGUGCGGGCUGUCGGUUGUUAGCCGUCCCGUCAGUGGCUCGUCGCCAGACCGAGGUGUCGCGAGUCCCGUCUGGGACUCCUCGUCUCCACCCCAGUGUUGCGGGACAGAUCGUGGCAAGGGAAACGUGCCUACCGCCGUCGCACUCUUACGGAGUGGGCGGAGGUGUACGUGACCCCGUUGGCUGCGACGGACCCGUGGGGGACCGGAGGCUGGCAGCGAGUAGGUCGGUCACCCACCCGACCCGUCUUGAAACACGGACCAAGGAGUCUAACAUGUGCGCGAGUCAAUGGGUCUUGACUAGGCCCAGGGGCGCAAUGAAAGCGAAGGACUGCCUCGCGCAGUCUGAGUGGGGAUCCCUCCUCGGAAACGGGGGGGGCGCACCCACGACCCGUCCUAUCCGGCUCGCCGGUUGGGCGGAGUCUGAGCGUACACGUUGGGACCCGAAAGAUGGUGAACUAUGCCCGGACAGGACGAGGCCAGAGGAAACUCUGGUGGAGGUCCGCAGCG